rnacentral:rRNA from 1 species
UACGUAGGGGGCAAGCGUUGUCCGGAAUCAUUGGGCGUAAAGAGCGUGUAGGCGGUUCGGUAAGUCGGCUGUGAAAGUCCAGGGCUCAACCCUGGGAUGCCGGUCGAUACUGCCGGACUAGAGUUCGGAAGAGGCGAGUGGAAUUCCCGGUGUAGCGGUGAAAUGCGUAGAGAUCGGCAGGAACACCCAGGGGGAAACCAGCCGACUGGGCAAGUGCUGACGCUGAGGUGCGAGAGCGUGGGGAGCGAACCGG